UUCCGAGAUCCCUAUCAGAUAUUCUACUCUCUGUUUAGACACUAUUUUAUCAGAUUCUGGGUCAUCUUACCGAUAUUUGGUUGUGCUGACCGCACAUUGGAUAUUACAGGGUUUGGGGAUGUUGGGCUGUCAUACAAUUAGCUUCUUUGCUUGUUUCAGCUCUUUUGAGUAGAUUAGAUUCCGAGAUCCCUAUCAGAUAUUCUACUCUCUGUUUAGACACUAUUUUAUCAGAUUCUGGGUCAUCUUACAGAGAUUUGGUUGUGCUGACCGCACAUUGGAUAUUACAGGGUUUGGGGAUGUUGGGCUGUCAUACAAUUAGCUUCUUUGCUUGUUUCUACUCUUUUGAGUAGAUUAGAUUCCGAGAUCCCUAUCAGAUAUUCUACUCUCUGUUUAGACACUAUUUUAUCAGUUUCUGGGUCAUCUUACAGCUAUUUGGUUGUGUUGACCGCACAUUGGAUAUUACAGGGUUUGGGGAUGUUGGGCUGGGUGAUAGUGCAAGUGAAGUAUCUAGUGUUUGUGUAGAAUUCAGAAGUUGAUCUGAACAAAUUUGCAUAAUUUGGUGUCGUGUGUGACUUAGUUAUUUGGGUAGAAUUUUUUUGGUUAUGACAAUUUUUUAUGCCUGCAUUUUUAUUAUGGAAGUACACUUUCUUGAUCAAGAUGUUCUCUUUCUUCACAAAUUUCUGAUAAUCAUGGCAUAAUUUUAGUCCUAGUCUGCUAUCCCUGAGCUGUAGUGCUGUUUUUUCAUAGGUGAAAAUUUUCUUUUGAUUCUCACAGUAAAAUGAUUUGGGGUGCUAUUUUUCAGGGAGCUGUCAAAGUAAUGGCAAAAGAUCUUAUCAGAACAAGACACCAAAUUGAAAAAUUCUAUAAGCUCAAGUCUCAGCUCCAAGGUGUAUCCCUCAGAAUUCAGGUAUUACAUUUUUUUCCAGUUACAUAUUGGUGGUGAUUGUCUAUUGUGCUUGUUUUAUUAUUGAUUUACUUUAUUUGUUCGUUUUGUAAUCUGCUCUGCCAUGCUUCUCUCUCUCUCGCUCUCCCUCCCUCCCUCCCUCCCUCUCUCUCUCUCUCUCUCUCUCUCUCUCUCUUGUACGCACACACACCCACACCCACUCAACUAGAGCUAAUGGGUGAAAGCUGAAAAUCUGAUACUGUUGCUAUGUUUUCAUGGGUGAUUAUUUGCACUUUGAGCUUAUUGACUCAUGAAACUUUUGGGGAUACACUAUCAUGAUAGCUAAAUAGCUACGUCUCUGCCCCUUAGUAGUUAUGUUUGCUAUUUUUCUGUGUAGCAGAAGUAUGGUAAAGGCAAGCUGCCUUUAUUCAAGUGGUUUUUAACUUGGUCUACACAAUAAUUUCCUGUUAUGGUGAUAACUAAAGAGUUCGUCUUGGAGGAACUUGUAUCUUCCUGAUUAGGAAGCCAUGGAUUAUUCUUUUCUGAUUCCAUAGCACAUAUGACCCUGCUGAAAUUUUCAUUGUUUUAUUCUGUUAGUUUUCAUGAGAAGUUAUGCAAAAAGUUGAUUUGCAUUGACAGUGCAGACACCUCGAGUUUCUGCUUGUUAAGUUUGAUAUUGGAUAUCUUUCCUCAAAAUAACUGCAAUUGUACCUAUCAGACCUUAAAAUCAACCCAAGCAAUGGGAGAGGCAAUGAAAGGUGUUACAAAGGCAAUGGGGCAGAUGAAUAGGCAGAUGAACUUGCCAUCAUUACAGAGAAUAAUGCAGGAAUUUGAGAGACAGAACGAAAAGAUGGAAAUGAUGAGUGAGGUGAUGGGCGAUGCUAUUGAUGAGGCUUUGGAAGGGGAUGAGGAAGAAGAAGAAACAGAAGAAUUGGUGAACCAAGUCCUUGAUGAGAUUGGUAUCGACAUCAAUUCUGAGGUAAUUUGUGUUAUAUCUUCUCCUCUUCUCUUCUCUUCUUAUUCAGAUCUUAUGAACUCACAUGCACCAACUUGCCUUAUGAAGAAGAUUUAUAUAUUUUUGUUGUUUUCCAACCAAUGCCAGCUCGUGAAUGCACCUUCAUCAGCUGUGGCUGCCCCAGCUGCAAAGACUAAAGUUCCACAAGCUGAGGCAACUGGAAAUGAUGACAGUGGCAUAGAUAGUGACUUACAGGCCAGGUUAGACAACUUGAGAAGGAUGUGAUUACUUGUAAAAGUUCUGGAAGAUGAGAUGAUCUGUGGUCUUGUAACAUUUGUGAAGAUAUUGCAAACUAUGUUCUGGCAAAGAUUGAUAUAACGAUAGAGGAUUUUCUCCGCCAAUAUUUAUCUUCUCCAUGUAAUUACUUCUGGAGUGAAACCGUGAACCUAUCUUUUAUCUGAGUUCCUUAUACAGACGAGAGAUAUAUUAUUGUUUUGCAUAGUUUUUGUCACCGACUUGGAAUUCAGCAGCCACGGGAAUCCACCUCUGUUUUGCUUUUAUCUUGUCUCGCCUGACUUCAGCCCCGGUAAUUUUCUUCUUGUUUAUUCUGUUCUCUUCCGCAUCCCCACCCCAUCCCCCGUACCCUUUUUUGCCGUUUUGCAGACUAAUGGUUGUUUUUGUUCCAAGUAUUCAAUCGGAUGCUUCUAAAUUCUAUUUCCGUUGGGAAAGUAGAAAAAAUGACGAAUGUGGAAAGAUCUAUGUCAUGUAAGGAUUUCAGUGACACGUUUCAUGAACGAAUUGUCUGAAAUUGCUCUAUAAAUAAUCGUGAAAUGUGACUGGAUAAUAAGUUGCCCAUCUCCACAUAACUUCCAGAGUCUAUUAGGUAUCAUUUUGCACGGGGCUAAAAAGAUUUGGCACGGAUCGCCUGCUAAUAGAGAACAGCCUCGAUAGGCGAGAGUACGCGUUUUGGAAGAGAAAUAAAACAAAAGAGGAACCUCGAUGGGAUAUGAUGCCAAGCCAACCCGUCUUGUAUCAGUUAUUUCAUAUAGACAGGAAAAAAAAAAGAUGUUUACAGACAUAACUUGUCUUUUUGUUUCUAUAGACUAUAUAAUAAAAGAAAAUAGAAUUGUGCAAAAUGCUCAGAGGGAAUGGAUGGAAGAAGAAGAAACAGUGUCCAAAAAACACAGAACGAGCACAACAGAAACAGCAACAAUCCAGGAAGAGCAUUACCGGGAGCAAGAAGCAGAAGGAACAGCAAUUCUGAGAACUGCGACGCAAAGCCAGCAAAGGCAACCCAUGCUUGGAACUGGUGUAACAGCCAUGAUUGAUUAACCCAAACAUAACAAUUGCAAGCUGGGCCAUGAAGGAACGAAGCUCGGGAAGCAAGAAUGUUAAUGAAACUGUGGCGAUCAAACUGGUAAUGUGCAGGGCAGUGGAACAGCAAUGGAGAAGAAUCAAAAUACAAAUGCAGAACAAGGAACUGUUGUUAAUAUCUCAGACAGCUCUGGAUAGCAAGGUGGCAACUCUAAUGGAGGAUAUACAAAGCUUAAAGGUGUUGUUUCAAAUGUGGUCUUUUUGUUUAGAUAGUGAAAACAGGAAUGAAAUUAGUGAGCAGAUCAACUCUUAUGCCACAAGUUAUACAGCAUUAUUUGAGCCUUUGCUCGCUACAGUUAAGCUCUUACCAACGUUUUAGAAAGAAAAAAAAAAAAAAAACGCAUUAAUUUAUGCCCGUUACACUUUUGAUCGAUUCAUCUUCUCUCUGUUUCUCCCAUAUGUAUACCGAGUCGAGCUAAAGCAGCUACCUUUACGAGUUUUACUGUUUACCAACGAGAUGGGAAGAAUUGGGUUCUAUAUUUCCUUGUCUGUCAAUUUCAUCUUUCUCCAUCGGGGUCCACAUUAACCUUGAGUUGUCAAAGGCCAAAAUUUUCCAUAAUUGCAGGCGUUCAUGCACAGACUAAAAUGUCAUAUGCCGACAAAAAUGCAGAAUACAACGACGGGCCAAUUUGACAGGACGGUAAUUCCAGAGAAACAUUAAUUACACGGGGAUCCUACUGGAGAUUUGCAAUCCUUCUCUGGAAUGCCCUGCCCGCCUUGUAGGUUCGUUGAGAACCCGGUUCAGGACUGGUGGAUCCACCGGAGAACGGCAAAGAGGACAGUCCAGAUGAGAGUAUAGCCACAUAUCUAUACAAGAAGCAUGAAACGAGUGUUUGCACCUUGGAAGCUGCCUCAAUUCUUCAUCCUCUUCAUACACAGAUAAGCAAACUGCACAUUCGUACUGGCUAUAGUGAGCUUCAUCUCUUGAUGACCCUCCUUUCUUGUACUUGAAACUGGAAAUCAAGUUCACAUUAAGGCUAUCCAAGCUCUGACUUGAUGCUGAAGCAGCCUCGAACCGCGACGGAGCAGCCAUGCCUUGACGCGGCCUGUCUGCCUGACUCUGAGAGCACCAUCUCAGGAUGAUCAAGUUGUAUACUGCAAGAAUUAGAGCUGCUGUCCCGGCAACCACCAUUCCAUAAUAAAACAAAGGCAUAUUGUUGAUGUUGUUGGGGGUGGUGACGGUGGUGAGUAGGGGAUUGGAGAGUUUCCCAUGGCUCUACCAAAAUGAUUUAGGCUAGCGGAGGGUUAAGGUUUACAGUGUAUGAACUAAUUAGUAAAGAAUAUACAGAACUCUUAUCUAAAUUUUUUACUGUUUUGUAUGAUAGAAGUAUAGCCUUUAAAACCGUGCCAGGUAAGGAGCAUAGACAUGGAAGGAUUUGCCUGUGAAUUGCGAUUGGUUGUUCAGGAUGCAGAGAAUGACAAAGCAGCGUACAUCAGAAAGCAGUGGACAAGUUGAUAAAACUGAAUUUUGAUUAGUUUUUGGUGUGUUUCUUGUGGAGAGUAAAAGAAAAUUGAUCAAAAGAUUCUAGUUUUGCGGUCAAAAUUUUGCUGUGUCCAAAUCCGCACGGAAAUCUGUGGCUCCACAGCAAAUAAACCGUAAAAAUUGACACAGAUUCGGCCGUUUCAACCUUCCCGUUUUAACAGCCUUAUAGCAGCAAAGAAGGCUUUUUAAUGAAUUCUUAUGUGGAACACUGCGAAAUGUAGUCCGACUUUCCCGUAGAUUCCUUCGCGAGUAUAGAAUCCGUUUUCUAUGGCAAUAUAUACCAUGUCAAUGGUCAAAGUGAAGGCAGUUCAAGUAAGACUUCUGUUCGCUACCAUAAAACACUAAAGACCAGAGUAUCGUUUAGUUGUGGACCACUUGCUGGAUAAUUGUCGACCAUAAGAACAGGCUCAUGUCGUCAUCAAAAUGAAGCUAUCCUUCCAGCCCCUCUACUUUGGCACUUCACUUAUCAGGUUCAAAUUUCCAACCUAGUACUAAUGUAUUGAAGACAAAGAAAAUGGAAAAUGAUUAUGGCAAUUAUAGUCUUCUUUUUUUUUUUUUUUUGGUAAUAAAAGGGACUAUAUAUUAAAUAAACUUAAGGUAUAGGUACAAAACGCGGGAAACAAAUUCCCUUAAGAUCUGCAUCUACUAGACCUCUCAAAACAUAAGGGAUACUUUCAUAGCAUACAAAAUUCACGUCUUGUUGAACACCCAAUUUUACCAAUCUGUCAGCACACUGGUUUGCUUCUCUCAUGCAGGUUCCUGAACCUCUGCUCUGCCGAAAGGUAAUUAUAGUCUUCACCUUAUAUAUUGUUAGAUCAAGUUUUGUUUCAAUGCAACCGCUAGAGUAGGUUCACUGGUUAGAAAAAGCACUCUUAGAAUUAGAAUCUUUCUAACCGGAUAACGUUAUAGUUUCCAGCACAAUAACCAUGGUUGUGUGUGUGUGUGUGUUUUUGGAGGGGAGGGGAAGGGGGGAUGUUGACCGGCAGGCAAUCAUUUUGAUAGAGUUAGGACAAUACUGCAGACGUGUAAUCACUGUCUAAUGGCCGUAAUUAGGAAAUAUUUGUAUUAUAAUCAUAUAAUACAUGUUCGUAUAUGUCAUUUUAAAAAACUUUUAUAUUUCAUAUAUUUAAAAAAUACUUGUAUUUUUUAACUAAUCAUAUAAAACAUGCAAUAAACUAUUAAUGUAUUAUACUUCAAUUUUUCAAAAAAAAAAUUUUUAAUUUUGAAUAAGGAUAAUGACAUACUUUCUAAGCUAUAUAGAAAAUAGAAACGAUAUGAUAUCAUAAAAAUGGUAGGUGUAUCUAUGUUUAAAUAAUAAGGUGAUAAAUUUUAAAUAAUUUUAAUGUCUCAUAUAUAAAAAUAGGUUUAAAAUUAGUAUAAAUGUAGCAUAGUCUUACAAAUCUAUAAUAUAAUUAUCCAUAUUUUUAGAUCCGUAAAUUUCAAAUAUAUUCGUAUUGUUCACAUACAAAAUUGUAUGCAUAAUUUUGCCGAACACGUAUUUUUAUUCCUAACUUUUCAUCGGACUUUUGAAAAAAAAAUUCAUAUAAUAUGUAUGUGUACGAUAUCUCGUCUGACAAAAAUUUGGUAAACCCGAUCUACGGGCCCGCUCAUGGACAGAGAGAUCUACAAUCUGCCACGUGAACACUAUGAAUUAAAUGGCGAGAAGCUCUCUCUAUUCUCUUUUUGACCUUUUCCUCUCUCUUUCCCCAAACGGUUUCUUCCCCAAACUUCUGGCAAAGAUCUCUGAACACUCGCAAGUCGCAACGUGCUCUUUUUUUGUUUUCUAUUAAAUUCUGUACUUUUUUUCAUACAUCUAUUAAUUUAUGGAUAGAUUUUGGUUUUCUUUGAAAUUUUCCGUAGCUUUUACCAAAAAAAAAAAAUUAAUAAUAAUAAACUUUAAGUUUUGCAAGAAAAAGGGAAGACAACUAGGAGGAGAAGAUGGCGGCGACACUGUCCGAUGAAGAUUCAGCGGACAACUACUUCCAUGGGAGAAAUUUCUUCAGUCUAUUAAAACAAAAAAAAUCGGAUAUUAGGGAGUUUGUGAGAGAAUGGCUCUACUAAUCAAUGGGUGGGGAAAUCUCUCUCUCUCUGUAGAUGCUGCCGCUUGCUCCUCCAAUGCAAUCGGUGUUCGAUGGCGGCGGAGGAAAGGGGAAGGAGAGGAAGUUUCGAAAGAAGUGAAGUAAGAGAGCAGCAGCAGAAUGAUCAAUGAUGGUGGCGGCGAAACCGGUGGAUGGAUUUAUGCUGUUGAAGUCUGGGGUAGAAGGCAAAAUUGGUAGUAAAAGAAUUAACUGUGCUUUUGUCCUGGAGCAAGAAGAAACAAAUUCUCAAUUAUUAAUUCAUACAGUGUAAAUGUGACGGGUUGUCUCCGUCAUGAUUGCCUGCAAUUGUUAUAAACCUCACCAACUGCAAUUAUCCCUUAUUUCUUCUACAUUUUGUUAGUACCAUCCUCUUAGAAUUCGGUUAAGAAAAUUCCGAGCCUUGAGUUCAAUUCCAUCCAUGUGUUGACGUUGAUUUUUGACAGCCGAUGAACUGUUGUCAAUGGAAUAACAUAUUGAUGUUGGUGAAAAUGCGAAUGCGCUGAUUUGAUGCUGACUUCUUAGACGGCCAGUGUUCGUCCUGCUUUGGGACAAUCGUUGUUCGUCCUGCUUUGAGCAGUCUGAAGGACUUAAAAUUCGUAUCAAAAGUGAUUGAUUAUAAGAAGAUACCACUGAUUUAAAAAAAAAAAAAAAAAAACUGACUUGCGAAUGAAAGUUACCGUAUUGCUUAAAAGAAACAUGAAGUUCGCAGCACACUCAUAAAUAUUGCUUAGAAUCAAUGUUUUUAAAUUCGAACGGGGAGUGGAUCGAAAAAUCUUCACAAGAGACGUGACUGGUUCGUGAUUCAAUCGGUCGAUUCGAUCCAAUUUUCAAAACAUUGCUUAGAAUGAAAAGAGGCUUCAUAACAACUCUAGUUGAGUCAUGGAGACAGUGGUAACUAUCCAUUCUUAUCUUUUAGGAUAAGAUGGCCACCAUCAGCCAAUUAUGACUAAUUAUUAACCGCCUUUAAAUGAAUGAAUGCUGCCGAUAAAUUAUAAAUAUUUUCAGCCUCAAAGUUCGUACCAAAAACUUGGACCAUUCGGGAUGCAAAAUGUAAUUCAAUUUUGAAGCCAUAUUCAAACUCGACUCUAAACCCUCGUCAGAAUUUCGGUUCAUUUUAGUUAUUUGGAUUGAAAAUUUUUUCGAAAAUACAACUACAGAAGUUGAAAGACGGAGCCUAUAAAUACAACUACACACAGAUGUUGAAACUUGAAAGACAAAAACUAAAAUUGACGUAUGUAGGGCUAGGCCGAAGAAGAAAUUCUAAAGUCCAUAUAGACACCUAUCUCUUGUGCUUUGAAACCACUUUUAGGCCCAAAUUUCCAAACAGAUACGAAAAAAAUAUGAUGGACCACAUAAGACAAUGACUUGCUCCUUAGCCGUCUGACAAAUUUAACAAAAUGAAGAUUGAAUUGAUACUGAUGACCACCAUUUGCAAGCCGACGAACUUGAUCUGUCAAAAAUUUCAAACGCAAAACGCAGUGGAUUAGUCUUAGUCAGUGAAACUUCACCGCCCGAGUCCGACUUUGAAUUGGCAGCUUAACGUGUAGUAAUUGUGCUUUUCGAUUUUAAAAAAGGAUUAAAACAAGAAAGUUAGUAGUAGUGUUUCUCUUCCGGAGAACGGGAAAGUUAUAAAGCCGUUGUUAAGUUUGGAAGUUCCGCUAAAUCACUAAUUCUUUUCCUUACUAUAAUUGUUUCUCAUUAUCAUAAGUUUUGUUUUAGGUACUGCCAUGCAUUAAUGGUACUCUCCCACGCCAUGAAUUUCAAAGCAUGCAACUGCUCCCAAAAAAAAAAAAAAAAGACGAUAAAAAGGAAUCAUUUGCAAUAAUGAUGAGAUAUUUUACUAAGAAAAGAUAAAAACAAGAAGGGGACCCGGACACAGAAAAAGUUUUUGAAGAUAAAAGAAAAGGGCCAAAAAAAAAAAAAUUCCAUUUGCAUUUCUAUUGUCCCUCUGCAAAUUUCCUAAGCAUGACCAAUUUUCUCCUAUUUAAGCCCGCCAUUAGUUACCUGCUACUGAAGUCGUUGGGUUAGAUAGAUGGAGUCAUUAAGAAGGGAAAGGUUUCUAACACUAGCACUCACCACCUCCUCUGUGAUUUAAGAAAUAGCAUUGACCUCUCUUGAACUUGCUGAUUCUUCGCAUAUUCAGUCCAAACUAAAAAAAAAUGUCAUUAAAAUAUUGUUUUAGAGAGUGAGAUGAGAAAUUUGUGCUAGAUGUGCCCUUUGUGCUACAUACCAAGUACUAUUAGCGAAUGAAUGAAAAAAUACUACAAAUCAAUUAAUAAUUAAUAAACUUUAAGGGCUGUAGUUUAUGGGUAAAUGGGCAUUACCCAUUCAAAGUAUCAGAUCUUUAUGAGCAUUUUACUAUCAAACAUUUAACUUAUGAUAAAUACAUCAAUGCUUGUGAGUAAAAUUCAAAAAGUGUUAUAGUAAUAUUAUUACAAAAAGGAAACCGGUAGAUUAUCUAUUUAAUAUAAAUUAAAUAUUUUUAAAAAAAGAAAUGGCUCAUAAAGUAUUAAUUCUUUAUGGCUUUUCUCCAUUACAUGAAUAAAGUAUCGGCUCUUUAUAGGCAUGUUAUUCUGAAUUAUUUAAUUUAUAUUAAAUAUAUACAUUUUUGUAACUAAAAUUGAAAAAAAUGUUACACUAAUAUUUUUAAGAAAGGGAAAUUGGUAGGUUUUGUAUUUGAUAAAAAUUAAAUGUGUGAAACUAAAAAAAAAAAAGAAAUUACCUAUAACAUACCAGUUCUUUCAACUUGGGAUCCUCGGUGACAUGUUUUCUAUGCCAACUCAAUGUCACCUAUAGUAUUGCGCCAAGUGUCAUGUUAUUAUUUACACUUGUGUUAAACCAAACCAAGUUAAAUUAUUAGAAAAUUAAAGUGUAAAUAAUAACAAGACACUUGGUGCAAUACUAUAGGUGGCAUUGGAUUAGCAUAGAAAACAUGUCAUCGAGGAUCCCGAGUGAGUUCUUUAUGGGUUUCCUCUAUUACAAGAACAAAGUACCAAGUAUUUUAUUUUGAAUCAUUUAAUUUAUGUUAAAUACAUAAUUGUUUGUACGUAAAAUUCAAAAAGUGUUACACUAAUAUUUUUACAAAAAGAAAACUAGUAGGUUUUGUAUUUAACAAAAAUUAAAUACGUGAAAGUACCAUUUACAGGUGGUUUAAUUAGUUACUUAAUUUGUUGACAAGAAAUAAGGUUUCUUUUGCAAAAUUUGUUCAUUAGAUUUCUCCAAAUAAUCAGGGUAUAAAAGUAAAUUUUUACAAUCUUUUGUUAGCAAAUCGGCACAAAUUUCUCAUCUCAUUCUUUAAAAUAAUUUUUUAAUGGCACUUUUUCUAGCCUAGACUGAAUAUACAAAUAAUCAGUAAGUUCAACAGAGGUCAGUGCUAUUUCUUAAACAAGAGAGCAGAUGAUGAGUGCCAGUGUUAGAAACCUCAGGGGGGUUUCUGCAAUUAUCCGCAUUCAGAAUGACCAAUCAUGCUCAUGAGGCAGACCCUCACCGAAGCGUAUCCAAAACUGGGGAUCCUUUUAGUUUUCCAUGUAUACAUCGUCAACAAGCAACUGAAAUAACUGCUGAUUGAUUCAGUAAUUGGGUGUAGCUAAAUCUGGUGCUCGGGGGUUUCAUUUGAUUACAGCAGCACAUUAGAUACUGUUGGCUAUUUAAUGGAAGGUGGAGCAGUCUUGAAACAGAAAGUUGGGACAGAUGAGGUUGUACUAAUGAUUCCAAAUCCCCAACAAACUUCAAAAUCGACCAAACAGAUUGGUGGGUUGAACGGAAAUACUACAACUCCUACAAUUCUUGAAUCUACUACUUCAUUCUAUUCUUACUCUGCAAUGGAGCAAGGAAAUGUCCAGUCAACAACCGUACAAAUGAGCACUUCUUCUUCUUCUCCAGCAACAGGCAGGUUGAGUAGUUCAGUGCUGAAUCCACCAUCAACAUCAAACCAACCUCCAUCUGAAACAAGUACCGGUAGUAUUAGUAUUCGGAGGCGGCCAUUAGCCCAGUUUCGAUGCCCCAAGCCUAAGUCAAGACUAGUGGAGCCGCCACAGCCUCCCAAAGUGAAGCUUAUUGAGGACGGUAACAUACAACCACCUGCACCUACGACAACCUCGCCUUACAGGAGCCCGAUACGAAGGACUAGUACUCCCAACACUCCGAAGACUACAGGUUCAAUUACCCCGAAAACUCCAUUAAUGGCAUCGCCAGGAUAUCAUGAAGAUCAAGAGGAUGAUGAUGAUGAUGAUGGUGGAGUUUACCAGCCUGGGUAUAUCCCGGAUCAGUUUGAAAAGAAAAGAAGUAAAAAAGUGGAAUUUAUCAUUUUAAUUGAAUGGAUUGCAUUGUUUAGCAUAUUGGGUUUUUUGAUUGUUAGCUUAACUGUAGAUAAAUUGAGUAGUUUGUACGUUUCGGGAUUGCGCAUAUGGAGAUGGUGUGUGUUGGUAUUGGUGUUUUUCUGUGGGCAUUUGGUUACUCAAUGGUUUACUGAGUUGUUAGUGUUUGUGAUUGAAAGGAAUUAUUUGCUUAAGAACAAGGUUUUAUAUUUUCUUUACAGUUUGAGGAAGAGUUUUCGAGUAUCGCUUUGGUUGGGCUUGGUUCUGAUAGCUUGGGCAUUGUUGAUUAAUAGAGGGGUCAAGCGGUCAAGGCAUACUAUGAGAGUACUGAAUCAUAUUACAAGGGCUCUUGCAUCUAGUCUUAUUGGAUCAGUUUUGUGGAUGGUAAAGACUUUCCUAGUAAAGCUAUUAGCUUCUUCAUAUCAUGUCCAGGCAUUCUUUGAUAAGAUUCAAGAAUCCAUUUUUCAUCAGUAUGUUCUUCAGACCCUUUCAGGCCCUGCAUUGAUGGAAAAUGCUGAUACAGCUGGACGGUUCAGGAAUAGCGGGAGGUUGAGCUUCAAGUACUCAAUGAAAGGGAAACAAAAGGGGAAAGGGGAUGAGGUGGUUAAUGUGGAUAAACUUUACAAUCUGACACGAGAGAAGAUUUCUUCUUUCACAAUGAAUGGGUUAGUUCAAGUAAUAAGGACUUCAGGAUUAUCAACUAUUUCUGAUGCGCUUGAGCGGAGCGAUGAUGACGAAGAGGUUCCACAGAAGGAGAUUGUAAGUGAGGUUGAAGCAAAGGCUGCUGCUAGAGAUAUUUUUAAGAAAGUAGCCAAGUCUGGCAACAGGUAAGAUAAAAUGCCUUGUAUUUAGAUUCUUCAAUUUUGGUUGACACUGAUUGUUGCAUAAAAUCUUUUCAUCCCGGCCUAGGUAUAUUGAUGAAGGAGAUCUUUUGCGGUUUUUUCCACCUGAGGAAGUUGGUAAUGUGCUUCCACUAUUCGAAGGAACUGCACAAACUGGACAGAUCAUGAAAGCAUCCUUCAAGAGUUGGGUGGUGAGAUCUGUCUUUACUUAUAAAUUUCAAAUUGAUUCGUGGACUCACAGAAAAGUACUUAUAGUUAUUAAACGCGGUUCAUUCUUGCAUUCUAUCAUGAAUUCUUCAAUAACAUCAGCUUGACUAGUUGACAGGUCACGGAAGUUGAGCUCUAAUACUCAUUUUAUGUUUCUGAGAUUCUUCAAAUAAAAGCAUUUUGCAGAUUUUGAGUGGUUGGUUUUGAACAUUUACUUGGAAAACUAACUUUAGACUGCAAAAUAGGGAUUUACUAACUUGUUCAAGAACACAAAUAUAACAGAUGUAUGAAUACGGAGACUGUUGAACAAACUGUUUAUGGAAGUGUUUUUAUUUUCAGUUCUGAUAAAAGUGGUGAUUGGUCACAGGUAAAGGUCUACAAUGAACGGAAAUAUCUAGCACAUUCUCUGAAUGAUGCCAAAACAGCUGUUGAAGAGCUUAACAAGAUCUCUUCUGCAAUUAUUUUAGUAGUCAUCAUUAUAGUGUGGUUGCUGUUGAUGGGAUUUGCUACAACUAAAGUGUUGGUCUUCAUUUCAUCUCAACUUCUACUGGUGGUCUUCAUGUUUGGCAACACAGCCAAAACGGUAUUUGAAGCAAUGGUCUUCGUAUUUGGAACCCACCCGUUUGAUGUUGGCGAUAGAUGCGUUGUCGAUGGGGUGCAGGUGAUCCCUUAUCCCAAAGUGCAUAUCCUUUAUUUUCUGUUCCACUUCUUCUUCCUAGUGUACCCUAACCCCGUUGAACUUCUCCAGAUGAUUGUUGAAGAGAUGAACAUUUUGACAACAAUCUUCUUGAGAUAUGACAAUCAGAUGAUAUACUAUCCAAAUAGCAUUCUUGCUACUAAACCAAUCACCAACUUUAAUAGAAGUCCACCGUUGGGUGAUUCUGUGGAGUUUUCUGUCGAUUUUUCCACUUCAGUCGAGAGCAUAGCAGCUCUGAAGGCCAAACUAAAAGGGUAUGUCUCUACCUCGUAUAUUUCAUCUUAUGAUUCAGAAAGAAAUGAUAACUAUAUAUUUAGUUGCCGCCUUCUCAUUUUUAUUUUUUUUUUGAGAAUUUCCUGCCCUGCCCUUCCCUUCUUGUCUUUGUUUCAUGGGUGUUGGCUGAUGCCAAUUUGUGUUGAGAAGGCUUCAGGGGCAGAAAGGAAUAAUACAGUCUAUUAGGAGCUUCUAAAUUUUAGAGUAUUCAACUUUAAGUUCAUUUUCCAAAUUAGCCUCCCAGUUAAGCAUGGUAAUAGCCAGCUUUCAAUUCAUUAGUCCGUUAGGAUUUGAGGUUUCACAAGAACUCGAUAUCUGCUGAUACAGGAUGAUACUUUCCAUGAAAGAUGUUCGCAAUUCACCUGUGUUUCGGAUUGAUUUCCGCAACUGUAAUAGUGUCAUCCGUUUCUUCAGGUUUUCAUUAUUGCUUCGCACGCCAAGCUUCAUGUAAUGACUUUGGACAGUUCAACUUCAAUUUUCCUUUCUAGUUCCAUCCUGCAGCUGUUCUUUUCUAGUUCCAACACACACUCGACGAGAUUGAUUUCGGCAAAAGAACCAACUGGAUACACAGAACUCCCCCUGCUUUUCUAGUUUCUGCUGUAGUACAAGUAAACCUUGCUCUGUAAUGCAAAUUGCAUUGGCAACCAGAAAUUGAGGCUACAAAUUAGUAGUUCCUUUCGCUGUCUUUAUGGAAAAGAAAUUUACUUAGUCUGACUAUUGCUGCCCAGUACUUUUACAUUUCAUUUCUGGAGCCCAAAUGAAAAGGAAGGAAACUUCCAUAAUUGGUUGUAGAUGUAGUGUUUUAAUGGACAAUGUGCUUUGUGGUGUGUUUCAGGUAUUUGGAGAGCAAGCCUGAACAGUGGCAGCCUAGCCACAGCGUCCAGAUCAAGGAAAUUGAGGAUGUGAACAAGCUCAAGAUGGCUCUCUACGUUACUCAUGCCAUAAACUCAUCAUCAUCGCAGAGAAGCAGCCACAGAUCUGAUCUAGUCCUUGAGCUGAAGAAAAUUUUUGAAGUUCUUCAAAUCAAUUAUCAUCUUCUUCCUCAAGAAGUGCAUGUCAGAUAUGUUGGAUCAGAGUUUCCUCCAUCUAACACCUAUUGAACGAUGAUAUAUUCUUCUUCAGCAUUCAUUCUUUAAAACUAUAGCAACAAAGUUGCUCGUGGCAUUAUUAGCAUUUGGAAUCAUACACGCACCCUCUUUUGGAGUUUUUUUUUUUUUUUUGGAGAAAAAUAAUACUGUAGCCAUAUAUACGAACGAGAUGAAAAUAUACUAAUUACUCAAUACGUCAAGAAAAUAUUUCAAAAAAAAAAAAAUUUCCCCAAAAAUUCACAAAAAUUUGUCGUUUUGAGAAUGCAGUAGGUUUGCCAAAUCCUUCAAAGAGUAAAGAUCAUGCAUGGUUCUGGUUUAGUACGAAUGGAUUUGUCAUCCAAUGGAAAAGAUCGAGAAUCCAUUAUUAUUAUUCGGGUUAUUAUCCAAUUCAGACAAUCAUUCACCUUUGUUUUCUUCCGGGUUCUGCUUUAAUAAUUGCCUAAAACUAAAAGGCUUCAUCUAAUCUCUCUUUGACAACCUUAGAAAAUGAAAUAAAAGUGAACGGGACAGCACCAAGCAUUGGGAAGCAUGGUCGGUCAGAGCAGCGUAACAAUGCCCUGUAAUUAUUGGCAAUGCCCAAAAACGUGCACUGUUCUUCCAAAAAGACAGUUCUUGGCUUUACAUCCACUAAUAUCGCCAUGGAGCGAAGAGAUAAAAUGGCAUGGCAGCACGUAAUUCCAAUCGGACCCAAUAUCAUUUCUCCAAUAUCAAGAAUCUCUCCCUCUCUUCUCUUCUCUUUUCUUUUCUUUUCUUUUCUUUUCUUUUUUGGAUUGAGGGAUUUGGAUCGAACUGAUUCAAAUCAUUCAUCCAAAUAACUAUUGAAUUACAAACCUAUUCAUCCAUUCACAUCAAACCCAUUGAUUCUGUUUAACUCUACGCUGAGGUGAAGGAAUAGGCCCAAGGAGGGACUAUGAGAAAAGCAGCUGGCCUGACUUGAUUACCCAUCAAGUAUCAAUCAUGUCUCCUCUUUUCUGAAAUUCCAAAGCAGAGAGAUUCACCCUUUUUUACUGUCAUCUUUUACUUAUUGUAUUCUGCUCACAUAUCUGUCAUGCAUCAGCUUGGAAUUUACACCCCACAAUACAGCAAAGCCUUCACUCUUUUCUAGUUUUCGUGUUGCACGCGCAUGCUACUGUUUGAUAC
rnacentral:lncRNA from 1 species